UCCGAAUUGGUGUAGUGGCUAACAUUUGACGCUCUCAAGUGGUCCUCAUUGCCUGGGAAAGUGCCGUCAAGCCCGGGGUUCGAUUCCCCGAUUCGGAG